rnacentral:rRNA from 1 species
GACGAACGCUGGCGGCGUGCUUAACACAUGCAAGUCGAACGGAAGGGCCCUGCUUUUGUGGGGUGCUCGAGUGGCGAACGGGUGAGUAACACGUGAGUAACCUGUCAUUGACUUUGGGAUAACUUAAGGAAACUGGGGCUAAUACCGGAUAGGAGUUCCUGCUGCAUGGUGGGGGUUGGAAAGUUUAGGCGGUUGGGGAUGGAAUAGCGGCUUAUCAGCUUGUUGGUGGGGUAGUGGCUUACCAAGGCUUUGAAGGGUAGCCGGCCUGAGAGGGUGACCGGCCACAUUGGGACUGAAAUACGGCCCAGCCUCCUACGGGACGCAGCAGUGGGGAAUAUUGCACAAUGGGCUGAAGCCUGAUGCAGCAACGCCGCGUGCGGUAUGACGGCCUUCGGGUUGUAUACCGCUUUCGCCUGUGACGAAGCGUGAGUGACGGUAAUGGGUAAAGAAGCACCGGCUAACUACGUG